ACUCAAAUGAAUUGACGGGGGCCCGCACAAGCGGCGGAGCAUGUGGAUUAAUUCGAUGCAACGCGAAGAACCUUACCUGGGUUUGACAUGCACCAGAUCGCCUCAGAGAUGGGGUUUCCCUUUGUGGUUGGUGUGCAGGUGGUGCAUGGCUGUCGUCAGCUCGUGUCGUGAGAUGUUGGGUUAAGUCCCGCAACGAGCGCAACCCUUGCCCCAUGUUGCCAGCGGGUUAUGCCGGGGACUCGUGGGGGACUGCCGGGGUCAACUCGGAGGAAGGUGGGGAUGACGUCAAGUCAUCAUGCCCCUUAUGUCCAGGGCUUCACACAUGCUACAAUGGCUGGUACAGAGGGUGGCGAUACCGUGAGGUGGAGCGAAUCUCUGAAAGCCGGUCUCAGUUCGGAUCGGGGUCUGCAACUCGACCUCGUGAAGUCGGAGUCGCUAGUAAUCGCAGAUCAGCAGUGCUGCGGUGAAUACGUUCCCGGGCCUUGUACACACCGCCCGU
rnacentral:rRNA from 1 species